UACGGAGGGUGCAAGCGUUAUCCGGAUUUACUGGGUUUAAAGGGUGUGUAGGCGGGCUUUUAAGUCAGUGGUGAAAUCUUUCCGCUUAACGGAAAAACUGCCAUUGAUACUAUUAGUCUUGAAUAUUGUUGAGGUAGGCGGAAUAAGUCAUGUAGCGGUGAAAUGCAUAGAUAUGACUUAGAACACCAAUUGCGAAGGCAGCUUACUAAACAAUGAUUGACGCUGAGGCACGAAAGCGUGGGGAUCAAAACAGG
rnacentral:rRNA from 1 species